UACGAAGGGGGCUAGCGUUGCUCGGAAUCACUGGGCGUAAAGCGCACGUAGGCGGACUCUUAAGUCGGUGGUGAAAUCCUGGGGCUCAACUCCAGAACUGCCUUCGAUACUGGAGAGCUCGAGUCCGGGAGAGGUGAGUGGAACUGCGAGUGUAGAGGUGAAAUUCGUAGAUAUUCGGAAGAACACCAGUGGCGAAGGCGGCUCACUGGCCCGGUACUGACGCUGAGAUACGAAAGCGUGGGGAGCAAACAGG
rnacentral:rRNA from 1 species